GACGAACGCUGGCGGCGUGCCUAAUACAUGCAAGUUGAGCGCUGAAGAUUGGUACUUGUACCAACUUGAUGAGCAGCGAACGGGUGAGUAACGCGUGGGGAAUCUGCCUUUGAGCGGGGGACAACAUUUGGAAACGAAUGCUAAUACCGCAUAACAACUUUAAACAUAAGUUUUAAGUUUGAAAGAUGCAAUUGCAUCACUCAAAGAUGAUCCCGCGUUGUAUUAGCUAGUUGGUGAGGUAAAGGCUCACCAAGGCGAUGAUACAUAGCCGACCUGAGAGGGUGAUCGGCCACAUUGGGACUGAGACACGGCCCAAACUCCUACGGGAGGCAGCAGUAGGGAAUCUUCGGCAAUGGACGAAAGUCUGACCGAGCAACGCCGCGUGAGUGAAGAAGGUUUUCGGAUCGUAAAACUCUGUUGGUAGAGAAGAACGUUGGUGAGAGUGGAAAGCUCAUCAAGUGACGGUAACUACCCAGAAAGGGACGGCUAACUACGUG
rnacentral:rRNA from 1 species